GACGAACGCUGGCGGCGUGCUUAACACAUGCAAGUCGAGCGGAAAGGCUCCUUCGGGGGUACUCGAGCGGCGAACGGGUGAGUAACACGUGAGUAAUCUGCCCUUGGCUUCGGGAUAGCCACCGGAAACGGUGAUUAAUACCGGAUACGACCACUUCUCGCAUGGGAUGGUGGUGGAAAGUUUUUCGGCCAGGGAUGUGCUCGCGGCCUAUCAGCUUGAUGGUGGGGUAAUGGCUCACCAAGGCUUCGACGGGUAGCCGGCCGGAGAGGGUGACCGGUCACGCUGGGACUGAGACACGGCCCAGACUCCUACGAGAGGCAGAAGUGGGGAAUAUUGGACAAUGGGCGGAAGCCUGAUCCAGCAACGCCGCGUGAGGGAUGACGGCCUUCGGGUUGUAAACCUCUUUCAGCAGGGACGAAGCGCAAGUGACGGUACCUGCAGAAGAAGCACCGGCUAACUACGUGCCAGCAGCCGCCGUAACAC
rnacentral:rRNA from 1 species